CCCAUGUGCCCUGACGCUGGUGCCUGUGUAAACAGGUGAAAAGGGAAUGUGUAACCCUGGUGCCCCGUGACGGGACGCCCGGGCGAAACGCAGCCGCCCCCGCGACCGUGAACGGAAAAGGGCGCUCGAAGCCACUGGCCUGACAGGCCGGGAAGGCAGAGCGACCGCCGGGCCCCGGGCCCAGAAUUCCGUGAGCCGGGAGACCUGCCAGCCCGACUGAUGAGAC
rnacentral:ncRNA from 2 species